GGUAUGGUGCUUGGGGGUGUCCGCUGGUGCACCGCUUGAAGGCGAGGUCGCGUGCGUGUGUGUGUGCGUGUCUGUGAGAAAGGCGAGGGGCGUGGUAGUAUCAGAAGAGAAGACUCGGCUGAUUUCAAAGGCCGCUCGCGCCACCCGCUCCGUGACGUCACUGGUGACCUCUGACGUCACAAAACCCACCCGUCCACCAUGACGGCCAACAACGGCACACUCUACAACUACGAGUGCUCGGACGGCCUCAUCCUGCCCAUCGUCAACGAGUUCACCUGGGCCAAGGAGGCGCGAGCCACUCUCUACUUCUUCGGCCUGCUCUACUGCUUCCUGGGCAUCUCCAUCAUCGCGGACAUCUUCAUGUGCAGCAUCGAGAAGAUCAUCUCCAAGACGAGGAAGAUCUACAUGGCCUCGGCUACAGAGAAUGAGCCAGAAGUUAUAGAGGUCCGUAUCUGGUCAGACACCGUAGCCAACCUGACGCUGAUGGCGCUGGGAUCCUCCGCUCCGGAGAUCCUCCUCUCCUGUAUCGAGAUCGUCGGCAACAAGUUCGAGGCUGGCGAGCUCGGACCGGGCACCAUCGUCGGCUCAGCGGCGUUCAACUUGCUCUGUAUCGUGGCCAUCUGUAUCAUAUCCGUGCCGAAGGGAGAGGUGCGAACCGUGAAGUACAUGAAGGUGUUCGCCUGUACCACCUUCUUCAGCUUCCUCGCGUACAUCUGGCUGCUGGUGAUCCUGGUGGGCUCCUGGUCGCCCGAUCAGGUGGAGAUCUGGGAGGCCGCCGUCACCUUCGCCUUCUUCCCCCUGAUGGUGCUGCUCUCCUGGGCGGCCGAGAGGAACUUCUUCAGGGAGGCGCCGGCUGAUAAACAGAUCGAGCUCGGCAGGUUCAAACCCGCCGACAAGUUUUCUCGGGACAUCCAGUACUUCAAGGACGGAGAACUCAACAAGGAUGCGCUGGUCAGCUUCGUCAGGGAGGUGAAGAAGAUGAACCCCAAGAUCAGUGACGAGGACGCCGCCGUGCUUGCCGCUCAAAAACUGGUGGACAGUCAGCACCACUCUCGUCUGUGGUACCGCAUUGGAGCCACUCGCAGUAUCGCCGGGGGGCGGAAAACCACGCCCAACAUGAGCAUGAAACUGCAGCAGGUGUACACCACCCUGAACGAACACCCGGACGCGCCCACCCUCGGUGAAGUGAAGGUGGUGGACACCACGGAGAAUGCCGUCAUUGAGUUCCACGCCGCCACAGCGCACGUGAUGGAGAACGUCGGAAAGUUUGACGUCACUGUUGUCCGGUCUGGUCUGACGGAUACAGAGGUCCGCUGUAGGAUCGAGACCAUUGAUGGCACGGCUACGGUAAACGAAGACUACAUCGGCAUCAACGAGAUUCUCACCUUCCAGCCGGGAGAGAUCGAAAAACAGGUGACUGUGGAGAUCAUCAACGACAACCAGUGGGAGCCCGACGAGGAGUUCUUCCUCAAGGUCUCCCUCCUGCCCGAGGACAAGGAGCCGGUCGGAGUGGAGAUCGGACGCAUCUCCAUCAUGGAGAUUACCAUCCUCAACGAUGAUGAGCCUGGCAACGUGCAGUUCUCCAAGCGCGGUUACCUGGUGAACGAAUCCAUCGGAAAGGCCUCCAUCCCGGUCAUCAGAAAGAACGGAGCAGACGGCGAGAUCUCCGUCAAAUGGAAGACGAUCGACCGCUCGGCACUAUCGGGAAAGGACUAUGAGGGCGGAGAGGGCAUGCUCAUCUUCAAACACACGGAGACGGAGCGAAUUCUGGAGAUCCCCAUCACCAACGACUUCUGUCCGGAGAAGGACGAACACUUUGAGAUCGAGCUGUUUGACCCGACGGGCGGAGCACGGAUCGGACGCAUCAACCGCACGGCGGUCACCAUUAUCAGUGACGACAACUUCAACACGGUCAUCUCCCGUCUGAUGAACCUCACAAACGCCAACAUCCACGCCGUGGAGAUCCAGCGCCAGACCUGGGGCGAACAGAUCAAAGAAGCCCUCACCGUCAACGGCGGCGACGUCGAGAACGCAACCAACAUGGACUACGUCAUGCACUUCCUCACGUUCUUCUGGAAGGUGCUGUUCUCGCUGGUGCCUCCGACCGGCAUGCUCGGUGGCUGGCCGUGCUUCUUCGUGUCACUGGGAGUGACCGGAGUGGUGACGGCUAUUGUCGGAGAUCUGGCGUCCAUCUUUGGAUGUCUGGUCGGACUUCGGGAUAGUGUAACAGCCAUCUCGUUCGUGGCUCUGGGCACCUCUCUGCCCGACACAUUCGCCUCCCGCACCGCCGCCAUCAAGGAGACCUACGCCGACAUGGCCAUCGGUAACAUCACCGGCUCCAACAGCGUCAAUGUGUUCCUGGGCCUGGGACUGCCCUGGCUGAUCGCCUCCAUCUAUCACGCUGUGGCGAGCGAGGACGGCACAUUUAAGGUGGAGCGCGGCGCACUGGCGUUCAGUGUGGCCAUGUACACUGGCUGUGCCAUCGUCUGCGUGUCGCUGCUGGUGGCCAGGCGGUACCUGAAGGUGUUUGGAAACGGAGAGCUCGGAGGUCCGACCGUGCCGCGCUACGCCUCCGGUAUCUUCGUGUUUAUGCUCUGGAUUCUGUAUUUGGUGAUGUCGUCUCUUCAGGCGUACGGCCACCUGCCGGGCAUGGGCUAAAGAGGACGGAGAGGGCGUACAGCGCUGGCAGCGUCAUCUAUGAACGGGAGUUAACACCAUGACUUUAUGAGCCGACCGAGAGAUGGGUGUCAAAUCGAGCCUUUUGGUGGUAGGAUGUGUGCUCGCUCGAUGGCUAUAGAUAAGGUGACUAAGUGCAGGGAUGGCGUGCACAAUGUGAAUUGAGCGAAUUUAUUCGCUAACGACACCUAUCGCCGUUAAGGUGCUUCGUAAUUAAACGUUGAGAGACAGUUACACUUACCGAUUAACAUAAAUCGUUGCGAUAAGUCAAAUAUGAGACCCGUGCGGUCUCCGUUUCGCCUCAGCCCUCAGCCUGGCGUGUUCCAUGGACAGCUCUGAUGAUUACGGCCGCCAUUUAAUCGCGCCCCAGAAAAGUCAUUUCUGACACUGAAUAGCUGUUUCAACCUGGAAUUGUUUGCAGCACCUAUUUGGAAACAUUCAGUACUAAUGGCGAAAAAUGGCUCAAUUGUGUUAUUACUGGCACUAAUUAUUCGGAGUGGUAUACUCUAAAACUAGAGUCUGGCACUAAAAUGCUGAAACUAGCACCCAUCUACUAGGAAAGUAGACGGCAGGUCUGCCAAAUCAAGUUUUUUUUUAAUAUUCCAUGAAGACUUAGUCUGCACAGUGCACAUAGUUGCCAGUGCCAUUGCUGAAGUGUGAUAUGCACACAGGAGGCUAACACACGCCGAGACCACCAGACGUGCGUCAGGUGCCUCGCCAGUCGGCGGCGGCGCCGGCGGGAAUGAAGUCACGGGUCUCGGGCCAGGGGGCUCGCGCGACGCCACUGUCGAGGCGCUAUAGCUGCAUU
rnacentral:misc_RNA from 1 species